UCUCUCUUUUCUUUCCUUUCUCGUUUCUUUUUCUUUCUUCCUCUUCUUCCCUAUUAUUUCCUGCUCGAUUUUCUGUGAGAAGAUUUUUAGUUUUGAGAUCGGAAAACUUAAGAAAAACACUAAGGUUUGGCUGUUGGUGCUCGGGUUAUUUUGGUUUGGCAAUGAAAGCAGAAGAAAUGGUAGAUUGGUUAGAAUCUGGAGUUAGGGUUCUGAUAUUUGGAUUUAAUUGAAGUUUAUGUAAAAUUGAGAAUGAAGGCAAGUAAUUCAUGGAUUGGUUUAAUGAAUUGAAGGUUUAUAUCGAUGUUUUGAGAUCGAACUGUAGAAGAGAAGUUUGGGAAUGAAAUUAAGGUUUCUGCAUGUUGUUUUGGAAUUCGAAUUGGUCAAAGAUUGAGAUGACUUAGAUAGAAUUGUAAGAUGGGUUUGUCUAAUUGAAGCUUCUGAAGUUGUUGAGGAUAAAAUCAGUGAGUUAGGGUUUAUGUUCUUCAUCAAAUUAAGAACUAGGGCUUCAUGAGAAGAAUUCAGAGAAGAUUAGAAGGUGGAAUUAAUGUUCUAGGAAAGGAAGUAGAUGAUGGGUAAGCUUAAUUUGAGGUUAUGGGUAAACCGAGAUGAAGAAGAACAAGAUUUGAAAGAUGAUACUGGUAAUUAAGGUUAGGGUUUCAUAAGAAAUUUGGGGAAGAAAUUCAGAAGAUGUAAAACCUGGUCUCGAGAAGAAUUGAAGAAUCGAUUCAAACAAGAAAAUGAGUUGGUGUCAAUUUGUUGGAAUGGAACUAUUUAAGGGAUGGAAUGAGAUGGCGUUGUUGCUGAAUUAAGUAUGAACUGCAGAUGGUUUUGUGGGUUGCAGUUGUAGUUCAAGUUGCAUGUGAUGAUACAGGUCAUGUAAGAUGGAAUGGAUUAUAAUUAAGUGAUGAUGUAUAAAUGGAAUUGGGGUCAUGAUGAUGGAGUUGGGUUGAUACUGAGAUUUUGGUAUGGAUGAGUUGUAGAUGAAUGUUGGGAAUUUGGAUAUGUUAAUGAUAUUAAGUUGCAGGGUUAUGUAAUAGGCUUGUAGAAGAAUUGCCGUAACAGAGGUUGUAUAUAUGAAUUGAGUUAGUUGUCGAAGUUUGAGUGUGCUGGUGAACAUUCAAUGAGAAAGAAAGGUCUUGCAGUUGAGGAAUGAGUGGUGGUGUAUGGUUACUGAAUUUGAAGUACAACUGAGAUGUGUAUGGCUUGGUACUGCAAUUGCAGGUAAAGCUUAAAUUACAAUUGUAUAUUGAAUUACAGGAUUCUGUUUGAGAUGAAUGUAUUGUUGAGUGUUUUACCUGUGAUGUUGUUGAAGGGUGAUGGAAUAGAAGUUUGGUUAAAGCCUGAAAUCAGGUUGGUUGUGUAAAUGAAGUUGUAUUUGAUUUAUGUUGUGUGCAAGAAUCUUAAUUUGAGUUCUUUUCA